AUUGAACGCUGGCGGCAGGCCUAACACAUGCAAGUCGAACGCGUGGCGGACGUGUGAGUAAUGUCUGGGAAACUGCCCGAUGGAGGGGGCUACCUACUGGAAACGGUAGCUAAUACCGCAUACCAUCGGAUGUGCCCAGAUGUGAUUAGCUUGUAGGUGAGGUAACGGCUCACCUAGGCGACUAUCCCUAGCUGGUCUGAGAGGAUGACCAGCUACACUGGAACUGAGACACGGUCCAGAAUCCUACUGGCGGCAUCAGUGUUGAAUAGUGCACAAUGGGCGCAAGCCUGAUGCAGCCAUGCCGCGUGUAGGAAGAAGGCCUUAGGGUUGUAAAGGACUUUCAGCGGGGAGGCGUUACCCGCAGAAGAAGCACCGGCUAACUCCGUGCCAGCAGCCGCGGUAAUAC
rnacentral:rRNA from 1 species